rnacentral:ncRNA from 2 species
UUUCGUUCUCAGGGCGGGGUGAAAGUCCCCACCGGCGGUGAUGGCGUUUACGCCUCAGCCCGCGAGCGCCUUGCGGCUUUACCGUGAGGGUCAGCAGAUUCGGUGUGAUUCCGAAGCCGACGGUGAUAGUCCGGAUGAAAGAGAAGGAAC